CCCCUCUCAGGUUUGUUCCUGGAGAGUUUCCAGUACUCUACCAGUCCUGACUAGGGGAGGGAGAGUCAAGCUGAGGCAUACCCCUUCCAUUCCUAGCCUGAGCAGUGAUUAGUGAGUGGAAGGCAAUCUGCUACAAGU